rnacentral:rRNA from 1 species
UACGAAGGGGGCUAGCGUUGUUCGGAAUUACUGGGCGUAAAGGGCGCGUAGGCGGAUAUUUAAGUUAGAGGUGAAAGCCCAGGGCUCAACCCUGGAAUAGCCUUUAAUACUGGAUAUCUUGAGUUCGGGAGAGGUGAGUGGAACUCCGAGUGUAGAGGUGAAAUUCGUAGAUAUUCGGAAAGAACACCAAGUGGCGAAGGCGACUCACUGGCCCGAUACUGACGCUGAGGCGCGAAAGCGUGGGGAGCAAACAGGG